GAAUUUUGCGCAAUGGGCGAAAGCCUGACGCAGCAACGCCGCGUGGGGGAAGAAGGCUCUCGGGUCGUAAACCCCUUUUGCCGGGGAAGAUAAUGACGGUACCCGGCGAAUAAGCCACGGCUAACUACGUGCCAGCAGCCGCGGUAAUACGUAGGUGGCAAGCGUUGUCCGGAGUUAUUGGGCGUAAAGGGCGCGCAGGUGGUUCGUGAAGUCCGAGGUGAAAUCUCCCGGCUCAACUGGGAGGGGUCUUCGGAUACUGGCGGACUUGAGGAGAGCAGAGGUGAGCGGAAUUCUCGGUGUAGUGGUGAAAUGCGUAGAUAUCGAGAGGAACACCAGCGGCGAAGGCGGCUCACUGGGCUCCACCUGACACUGAGGCGCGAAAGCGUGGGGAGCAAACCGG
rnacentral:rRNA from 1 species